GAUCCUGGCUCAGGAUAAACGCUAGCGGCAGGCCUAACACAUGCAAGUCGAGGGGCAGCAGGGAAGUAGCUUGCUACUUCUGCUGGCGACCGGCGCACGGGUGCGUAACGCGUAUGCAACCUACCUUUAACAGGGGGAUAAUCCGAAGAAAUUUGGUCUAAUACCCCAUAAUAUUGAUUAAGGCAUCUUGAUCAGUUGAAAGUUCCGACGGUUAAAGAUGGGCAUGCGUUGUAUUAGCUAGUUGGUG
rnacentral:rRNA from 1 species